rnacentral:rRNA from 1 species
UACGUAGGGGGCAAGCGUUGUCCGGAUUUAUUGGGCGUAAAGAGCGUGUAGGCGGCCAGACAGGUCAGCUGUGAAAACUCGAGGCUCAACCUCGAGACGUCGGUUGAAACCGUCUGGCUAGAGUCCGGAAGAGGAGAGUGGAAUUCCCGGUGUAGCGGUGAAAUGCGCAGAUAUCGGGAAGAACACCCGUGGCGAAGGCGGCUCUCUGGGACGGUACGUGACGCUGAGACGCGAAAGCGGAUGGGGAGCGAACGGAGGA